rnacentral:snRNA from 1 species
UUGUAUUCUUUUCAAGAUCCAAAUAAAAAUCUGUUCUUAUCAGCUUAAUUUCUGGUAUGAAUCCCAAGCGGAUUCGUUAGAAAUUUGCAUAAGUUUUUGUGAAAUUAGGCUUUUGGUUGAGUGCUCGCACCACCAUUUGCCGCGGGUCGUCC